UACGGGGGGGGCAAGCGUUGUUCGGAAUUACUGGGCGUAAAGGGCUCGUAGGCGGCCAACUAAAUCAGACGUGAAAUCCCUCGGCUUAACCGGGGAACUGCGUCUGAUACUGGAUGGCUUGAGUUUGGGAGAGGGAUGCGGAAUUCCAGGUGUAGCGGUGAAAUGCGUAGAUAUCUGGAGGAACACCGGUGGCGAAGGCGGCAUCCUGGACCAACACUGACGCUGAGUGAGCGAAAGCCAGGGGAGCAAACGGG
rnacentral:rRNA from 1 species